UACAGAGGUGGCAAGCGUUGUUCGGAAUUACUGGGCGUAAAGGGCGCGUAGGCGGUUCGUUAAGUCCUGUGUGAAAUCCCCCGGCUCAACUGGGGAACUGCACAGGAAACUAGCGGGCUUGAGUUCGGGAGAGGGAAGCGGAAUUCCGGGUGUAGCGGUGAAAUGCUUAGAUAUCCGGAGGAACACCGGUGGCGAAGGCGGCUUCCUGGACCGACACUGACGCUGGGGCGCGAAAGCUAGGGGAGCAAACGGG
rnacentral:rRNA from 1 species